rnacentral:rRNA from 1 species
GAUGAACGCUGGCGGCGUGCCUAAUACAUGCAAGUCGAGCGAACAGACGAGGAGCUUGCUCCUCUGACGUUAGCGGCUGACGGGUGAGUGACACGUGGAUAACUUACCUAUAGGUCAGGUGUAAUUUCGGGAGGGCGGAGCUAAUACCGCAGAAGCUGAUGACCCGUAAGGGCCCACCGUGACAGGAGGUCUUGCUGUAACCUAUGGAUGGAUCCGAGCCCCAUUCGCUAGUUGGUAAGGUAACGGGUUACCAAGGCAACUAUGCGUAGCCGACCUGAGAGGGUGAUCGCCCACCCUGGAACUGAGACACGGUCCAGACUCCUACGGGAGGCAGCAGUAGGGAAUCUUCCGCAAUGGGCGAAAGCCUGACGGAGCAACGCCGCGUGAGUGAAGAAGGUCUUCGGAUCGUAAAACUCUGUUAUUAGGGAAGAACAAAUGUGUAAGUAACUAUGCACGUCUUGACGGUACCUAAUCAGAAAGCCACGGCUAACUACGUG